CAGUCUGCACCAAAAACUUUUUCAACUUCAAGUCCGAAGACCAAUAUUCUGACAUUUUUCUUAUUGGGCCAAACAAAGUUUUGCAAAAGCUUACUAGUCCGAAUGAAAUUUUACUAGUCUGGGGCAUCGGACUAGUGGCUAACCGUGCAGACUGUCAUCCUGGUUAAUAAUAUGUUAAUCUAGAUUUUAUCGUUUUCCAUUCAGUGGGGCGAGUUUUCAGGAGUAAUAUUAACGGGAUUUAACACAUUUCACAAGUGGGGCGAUUUUUUAA
rnacentral:lncRNA from 1 species